UUUCCGUGUAGGGGGUAGUGAUAGCCCACACUGCACAUCCUACUCGGAUUAACAGGUGUACUCUUCAAUAUAACACAUUAUUGUUUGUCAUCUUAUAGAAGUUAUUAGUUAAUGACCUAAAGGAUCUUACACAUGGGAUUAAGCCAUACACCAAAGCAUCAGAAAGCUCUAAAGAGGAUCUGCGCAUGAGGUUCCACCAUACCCCAAAGCAUCAAAGCCAUCAUGUUCAUGGCCAACUUCCAUCUAAAGCUGAUGCACCCUGUAGUACAGGUUAAAACACUAGCCACUCAUUGAUUUUACCAUCAUAAUAAACAUAACAUGAAGAUCAUUUUGGUUUAAUAUGAUGGCAUGAACUGAUAUA